GCGUUGUUAGUGUAACGGUUAUCAUCCUACCCUUCCAAGGUAGGGACCGGGGUUCGACUCCCCGACAACGCA
rfam:Aspergillus rambellii strain SRRC1468 contig00281, whole genome shotgun sequence.